GGUGAGUUUUCCCGGAGAUUUCAGUUGUGCAGUGGCAGGCCUGAUCUUCCUGGAGUACACAGACAGCGCCCAUUGGUCGGCCGAGCUGCUCGUUAUCACGUACGGGGGCGGGCUCAAGAGUUACCUGCAGCCAGGAUUUGACGAGAGUGGAAGACAUCGCUGGAGAGAAGGAAGAAAAUAAAAGAUAAGGAGCAGUACUACCCGCUGGAGGAUGUGAGCUGGUGGAGCGACGUGGUGCUGAUUCUGGCUCGCUGCUCCGGCUCAGUCACCGUGUCCUCAGUCAGGACGCUGCGCAACCUCCUGGGGAAAUCCUCGAGUCACGGCGGCACACGAAGUGGGCUUCCUCAGCCUGGAGGUACGUGUUCAGA